UGUAAUAGAAACCCGUUCAACUUGUAAAAUGGUUGAUAUCGGCAUUUGUUUAUCCGUCAUCCGUAUCUCCCCAUACACUUCCUUUUAUUCCAAGAAUAUCCACUUUUUUUCUCUCCCAUUUGAAUUUCAAAUACACAAACCUUCAUCUUCUUUAAUCAUUAAUCUUCAUUAAUGGCUUUUGCUUCUGCUUAACCCUACCUCACAACUUUCUGUCUCCUCCUCUUCAUCUUCUCCACCAUCUUCUUUCUCCUUGGCUGACUCACCAUCACCAUAUCAUCCGUCAGUCUUCGAGAAUCUUCAGUGUUCAUCAGUUUGAGACUGUUCAUUCUUGUCGUCCUUCUUCCACUUCUCGCGGACACCUUCGUUCUUGGAAUAUGAUGUUUGAGGUUGGGAAUAUGCAAUGCAAGGAUACAAGCCUUUGAAAGAAGUUGAAAAAAAAAACGUGCAAGACCAGCUGAGUAUCUGUUCAUGUUUGUCCUAUAACAAGUGGCUCACAUUUGUAAGCUCAGCCUCAGAGCACAACCUCUACGCCUACAGCUGCUGUGCCUGCACCAGUUGCACCUCAAGCUCAGACGCAGAUAACUACAGAACCUGCUGCUGUAGCUACCGUGAGUCCCUUGAUUGAUGCAGCUGCUGCUUCAGGGGACGCAUAUGUCCAUGGCUAGGUUGCAUCUAAUUUAGUUACGGGAAGCAACUUGGAGAGCACCAUUCAGCAAAUUCUUGAUAUGGGUGGAGGAAGUUGGGACAGGGUUACUGUUGUUCGUGCUUUGCUUGCUGCUUAUAACAACCUUGAGAGGGCUGUCGAAUAUUUGUACUCUGUAUGUCUAUAUACUACUAAUUCGUCUUUCAUGCUCCCCCCUCCCACUUUAAUUCAUAAACGAGCAUACACUGUGCUUGCUUCACUCUAAAAUUCUUGCAAAGAUGUUAAGGUUCAGGAUUAUCUAUAUAAAUCCAUCUUGUUACUGCAUUUGACUUUAAUAGUGCCUCUUACUUGGUUCUUUUGAUAAAGAA